CGGUGGAUUAGUGGUUAGCACUGUUGCCUCACAGCGAGAAGGUCAUGGGAUCGAUUCCCACCUUUGGCCUUUCUGUGUGGAGUUUGCAAGUUCUUCUCGUGUUUGGGUGGGUUCCCUUCGAGUCCUCUGGCUUCCUCCCACAUCCAAAGACAUGAAGAUUAGUUGGACUGAAACUU